CCUACGGGGGGCUGCAGUGGGGAAUAUUGGACAAUGGGGGCAACCCUGAUCCAGCCAUGCCGCGUGUGUGAAGAAGGCCCUCGGGUUGUAAAGCACUUUCAGUGAGGAAGAACGCCUGGUGGUUAAUACCCAUCAGGAAAGACAUCACUCACAGAAGAAGCACCGGCUAACUCCGUGCCAGCAGCCGCGGUAAUACGGAGGGUGCGAGCGUUAAUCGGAAUUACUGGGCGUAAAGCGCGCGUAGGUGGCUUGAUAAGCCGGUUGUGAAAGCCCCGGGCUCAACCUGGGAACGGCAUCCGGAACUGUCAAGCUAGAGUGCAGGAGAGGAAGGUAGAAUUCCCGGUGUAGCGGUGAAAUGCGUAGAGAUCGGGGGGAAUACCAGUGGCGAAGGCGGCCUUCUGGACUGACACUGACACUGAGGUGCGAAAGCGUGGGUAGCAAACAGGAUUAGAUACCCCAGUAGUC
rnacentral:rRNA from 1 species